rnacentral:rRNA from 1 species
UACGUAGGGUGCGAGCGUUAAUCGGAAUUACUGGGCGUAAAGCGUGCGCAGGCGGUUUUGUAAGCCAGAUGUGAAAUCCCCGGGCUUAACCUGGGAAUGGCAUUUGGGACUGCAAGGCUGGAGUUUGGCAGAGGAGACUGGAAUUCCCGGUGUAGCAGUGAAAUGCGUAGAUAUGUGGAGGAAUACCGAUGGCGAAGGCAGCCCCCUGGGAUAACACUGACGCUCAUGCACGAAAGCGUGGGGAGCAAACAGG